UACGUAGGUGGCAAGCGUUGUCCGGAUUUACUGGGCGUAAAGGAUGCGUAGGCGGAUGUUUAAGUGAGAUGUGAAAUACCCGAGCUCAACUUGGGUGCUGCAUUUCAAACUGGAUAUCUAGAGUGCAGGAGAGGAACGCGGAAUUCCAGGUGUAGCGGUGAAAUGCGUAGAUAUCUGGAGGAACACCGGUGGCGAAGGCGGCGUUCUGGACUGCAACUGACACUGAGGAACGAAAGCCAGGGGAGCAAACGGG
rnacentral:rRNA from 1 species